GACGUAGGUGGCAAACGUUAUCCGGAAUCAUUGGGCGUAAAGGGUGCGUAGAUGGCAUGAUAAGUUAUCAGUGGUAAAUCGGGGCUCAACCUCGUGGAAGCUGGUAAUACUGUCAUACUUGAGUGCAGGAGAGGUUAACGGAACUCCAUGUGGAGCGGUAAAAUGCUUAGAUAUAUGGAUGAACACCAAUAACGGCGAAGGCAGUUAACUAUUCUGUUACUGACAUUGAGGCACGAAAGCGUGGGGAGCAAAAAGG
rnacentral:rRNA from 1 species